rnacentral:lncRNA from 1 species
AUUCCUAAGACAUUUUAGAUUCUUCUGCAAUAUAAAUGAAUAGUUUAGGAAUCAGAGAACAGUAUUUGGCAAUGUACUCCCAAAAUGACAAAGCAACCUGUGAUCUCAAUUCAAGAGCACUUAAGCUGUAAGUAAUCCAGUAGGUCAGGCUUCAUAUUUCAAUCUUACAACCCCUAAUGAAGCAGUGGCAUCCAACAGGUAAUACAACUCACCCUAUUAUUGAAAACUAUAAGAUAUAAACCCAUAAUUUUCAUCUAAUAAGUAUCAUAAUUUACUGUAUCAAAGUACAGAUCAACUGAAAAUGUGCAGAUUAAUGCUCCUAGAAUAGCAAAUAUGUUUCUUCAAGAAAUCUGAAAGGUUCAUGUAUUUCAGGUCCCAAGCCAACUUUUGUGGAAGUAUAGAAUCAUCGACGCAUCAGUUGGGUAGACGGUAUUCAAUUCAUAUCCCUGUGCUCCUAGCUCCUCACAACUUACUUCAUCUAUCAAAAGGUACUAUGUCAUAGAAUAAAUCAAAAUGCACAUUUAAAACACGUUAAAACACAAAUUCAGAUGCAAUAGUGCAAAUGUAAUUAUUUUAGCAAGAAGUGAAACAUCCGAUAUUAUGAACAUGAAUAGCAUUUAGCACCACCAGCGUUAAAUUUAUGAACAUGAUAUGAUGCAGACCUAAAAGCAGUCCAUGGAGGAAUGUGUAUUAUCCAAAACAUGAAUAUAUUUCAACAUGUAAGGUUUAUCUUACUUGACAUGCAACCAAAUAAUUUCUUUUUUAUAUUAAUCAAUCUUCUCUGCUUGCCUUUAUAUCUCUUCCAUUUGCUCUGCUUGCCUUUAUAUCUCUUCAUCAAUAGUAUUUAGUACUUGUCCUGAGCUAAUAGUCAUGCUCGUUAUAUUUGAAAAUAAGUCAAGAGGCAUUAAAAAUAUAUUGACUUGCUUUGGCUUCUAGCAAAUAGUAAUCAGGUUCACAAUAAUCUCUAAUUACAUAGGAGUAUACAGAAGAAAAGUAAAAUAUAACAAUUAAGUAAAGGAUACAAACAAUAAGCAUUGAACAAAGAAAACUUAUAUUUUUAUUGUCACAAGCAAUCAUAUCUCCAAUAAUCAUAUCUCCAAUAGAUACCUGAAGGAUAAUCAGCAACUUCAGAAGGGAGCAAGAGCAAGACAAGUUGUUGCAAUGAUAUGAUGAUCUAUAAUCAAGCAUCAAUGGUUUAGAACAUAAAAGUAAAGUAAGAUAUCAAUAUUUUAAGUCAUUAAUAGUCAUAUCAUUUAAGGAGUAUUAUAUAAAUUGAGAACACAUCGAUCAUAUAGCCGGCAGAAGGAUACAUAACAAAAGCCAACAAAAUCACUUUAACAGUAUUGAUUUAAUGAAAAGACAUGUGCGAAAGAAGAGAAGCCAAUAACUUAUGUUCUGUUUUCUGUAAAAGCUUUUGUUCAACUGUUCUACACAAAAAAGAGACAAAAAAAUAUAACAUUACUCCACUAAAGUCCAAAGACAGUUAAAACUGAUGGACCACUCAUUAUAUUGAGAACUUGUAAAAUAAUAGAAAGAAAAUUUGAAUUUGUCAAUCACGUUUUCUUUUUUCAGUAUGCUCUUGGGCAAAAGAUAUUUAUGCAUAUACGGAAUAUAGCUUUAUCUUUGAUAAUGCUGCAUCAAUAGUAUGAAAGCAGUAUGAAAGAUCAAGAUGUGUAUUUAUGGUUAUUAAAGAUCUAGCAUUUGAAGCUUGAUAAACAUAAAGAACCCGUGAUACCUUUCUUUUUCCAUAUAAACUCAUUAUUUAUUUGCGCGUCAAAGUGAAAGCCUUUCUCAUGCCUUCUAUAGCUUUCUUGAAUAUUACCCUCGUAGCCUUUCUCAUGCCUUAUAUAAUUUUCUUAAAUAUCAUUCUCUUCUUCUCUCACCAAUUUAUAAAAUUUUAUGUAAACUAUUUCUUCUACUCACACCACAGGGAGUCAAAAUUAAGACUACACCACCGUGUGCAAAUUUCAUAUUCAUAGUUCCAAGCAAAGCCUCAAAUGAAUGCACAUUGAUAAGAUACAAACUACCGAAAUGAACUGGAGCUUCUAGUUAAAGGCAGAAAAAAGAAUUGCACAAAAAGAAAAGUAAAGCCCAAUGCCGAAGCACUUUACUGCAUCAAUCGAACAAAUUUCUCAUUUUCUCCUCUUUAGUCCUCCUAGACCCCAUUUGUGGGAACUCAUUGACUUUGAUUUUGCUCCUCCUUAGUCCCAUAUAUGUCCCUACUACUACUACUACUAUCAAAAUCAACUUAAAAUACCUUACAGGAAAUAGAUCAAACUCUAUAAUUGGUAUCCAUAAUUUGUAAUUUUAUACUCACCUGGGCAUAUAGACAUCAGAAGUAAGAUUGGAUCUUCCACCGCACCAUCUUUCCGAACCCAAUUGAAGUAAGCUGUUGAUGUUUUACAUACAUUGACUAAUUUCUAUCAAAGAGCCGAAGACAAAAUUGGAAAUUAAAACUCAAAAUAAACACAAGAAGUGAAGAACAGAAGGACGGUAAACAUUUACCUGUUGUCGUAGGUCGUAGGAAUGUAUUCAAUCUGAAAUCACCCUAAUCCGCCUUUGAAUUUUGAUAACCAAAUCUUCCAUUAUCCUGCCGCAAACGAUUCGCCCUAUGAGGCUGAAAUCUUCAACUAAUAAAAAAAAAUCAACUAUUCGUGGUAAUUUAGAAUAGAGGAGAAGGCUCUGAAAGGGCGUUGUAUAGAAGGGCGAAAGGCAUCUGCGACAGGAGCGAGAGAGUUGAAUAGCAAAGGCCUUGCAAGCAAUUUCAGUUACAAAAAGGAUUGAAGAGAAGAACGCGACGUUU